rnacentral:rRNA from 1 species
UACGUAGGGUGCAAGCGUUAAUCGGAAUUACUGGGCGUAAAGCGUGCGCAGGCGGUUUUGUAAGUCAGAUGUGAAAUCCCCCGGGCUUAACCUGGGAACUGCGUUUGAAACUACAAGGCUAGAGUGUGGCAGAGGGGGGGUGGAAUUCCACGUGUAGCAGUGAAAUGCGUAGAUAUCGGGAGGAACACCUGUGGCGAAGGCGGCCCCCUGGUUGGAUACUGACGCUGAUACGCGAAAGCGUGGGGAGCAAACAGG